rnacentral:rRNA from 1 species
GACGAACGCUGGCGGCGUGCUUAACACAUGCAAGUCGAACGGAAAGGCCCUGCUUUUGUGGGGUGCUCGAGUGGCGAACGGGUGAGUAACCCGUGAGUCACCUGCCCUUGACUUUGGGAUAACUUCAGGAAACUGGGGCUAAUACCGGCUAGGAGCUCCUGCUGCAUGGUGGGGGUUGGAAAGUUUCGGCGGUUGGGGAUGGACUCGCGGCUUACCAGCUUGUUGGUGGGGUAGUGGCCUACCAAGGCUUUGACGGGUAGCCGGCCUGAGAGGGUGACCGGCGACAUUGGGACUGAGAUACGGCCCAGACUCCUACGGGAGACAGCAGUGGGGAAUAUUGCACAAUGGGCGGAAGCCUGAGGCAGCAACGCCGCGUGCGGGAUGACGGCCUUCGGGUUGUAAACCGCUGUCGCCUGUGACGAAGCGUGAGUGACGGUAAUGGGUAAAGAAGCACCGGCUAACUACGUG